CAAGUAUCUAAAAAGGGGCCGCAGACAGCAGGUUUUCCUAAUAACUUUGAUUUACGAAAAACGUUUUAAAUGGGCAUUUCGUGAUUCAAAGUGGUAAGGAAAAUAAAUCCUGCCGAGGUAAUAAUGAGAAACACAUUUCUUUUAUUAUUUGUCUGCAGUCGCAGACUUUUUUAUUUGUUUUA
rfam:Candidatus Staskawiczbacteria bacterium RIFCSPHIGHO2_01_FTLL_39_25 rifcsphigho2_01_scaffold_1124, whole genome shotgun sequence.